rnacentral:sRNA from 1 species
GUUCGACUCGAGCGAAAGCGAGAGAACGUUGCCAACGGCAACGGCCCGAAGGGUGAGGAGCGAAGCGACGAAUAAUCCUUCCCCCACCACCA